rnacentral:tRNA from 1 species
GGCCCGCUACCUUACUGGGAGAGCGACUGACUCUUGAUCAGCAGGUUCCGAGUUCGAGUCUCGGGCGGGUCACCA